rnacentral:rRNA from 1 species
UACGUAGGGUCCGAGCGUUGUCCGGAAUUACUGGGCGUAAAGAGCUCGUAGGUGGUUUGUCGCGUUGUUCGUGAAAACUCACAGCUUAACUGUGGGCGUGCGGGCGAUACGGGCAGACUUGAGUACUGCAGGGGAGACUGGAAUUCCUGGUGUAGCGGUGGAAUGCGCAGAUAUCAGGAGGAACACCGGUGGCGAAGGCGGGUCUCUGGGCAGUAACUGACGCUGAGGAGCGAAAGCGUGGGUAGCAAACAGG